UACAGAGGGGGCAAGCGUUGUUCGGAAUUACUGGGCGUAAAGGGCGCGUAGGCGGCCUUCUAAGUCGAACGUGAAAUCCCCGGGCUCAACCCGGGAACUGCGUCCGAUACUGGAAGGCUUGAAUCCGGGAGAGGGAUGCGGAAUUCCAGGUGUAGCGGUGAAAUGCGUAGAUAUCUGGAGGAACACCGGUGGCGAAGGCGGCAAUCCUGGACCGGCAUUGACGCGUGAGGCGCGAAAGCCAGGGGAGCAAACGGG
rnacentral:rRNA from 1 species